UACGGGGGGGGUAAGCGUUGUUCGGAAUUACUGGGCGUAAAGCGCACGUAGGCGGAUCGAUCAGUCAGGGGUGAAAUCCCAGGGCUCAACCCUGGAACUGCCUUUGAUACUGGCGACCUAGAGUUCGGAAGAGGUUAGUGGAAUUCCCAGUGUAGAGGUGAAAUUCGUAGAUAUUGGGAAGAACACCAGUGGCGAAGGCGGCUAACUGGUCCGAUACUGACGCUGAGGUGCGAAAGCGUGGGGAGCAAACAGG
rnacentral:rRNA from 1 species